AACGCACGAGACCUGCGGACCUGCGGAGGGAUCAUUAAUGAGAAACUGCCCCUCGCGGGUAGAUCUCCCACCCUUUGUAAGCUUACCUUUGUUGCUUUGGCAGGCCCGUCUCCGGACCGCCGGCUUCGGCUGGCCAGUGCCUGCCAGAGGAUUCUAAAACUCUGUCUGUCAGUGUUGUCUGAGUCUAUAUACAAUCGUUAAAACUUUCAACAAUGGAUCUCUAGAUCGGAAGAGCACACG
rnacentral:misc_RNA from 1 species